UACGUAGGGACCAAGCGUUGUUCGGAUUUACUGGGCGUAAAGGGCGCGUAGGCGGCUUAACAAGGCACUUGUGAAAUCUCCGGGCUUAACUCGGAACGGCCAAGUGAAACUGUCAAGCUAGAGUGCGGAAGGGGCAAUCGGAAUUCUUGGUGUAGCGGUGAAAUGCGUAGAUAUCAAGAGGAACACCUGAGGUGAAGACGGGUUGCUGGGCCGACACUGACGCUGAUGCGCGAAAGCCAGGGGAGCAAACGGG
rnacentral:rRNA from 1 species